UAUAUUUGCGCCUCCAAAGCUUAAAUUUUUGGAUACAUAAAAAUUAUUAAUAAAUAUUGGAAUG
rnacentral:ncRNA from 1 species